UACGGGGGGUGCAAGCGUUGUUCGGAUUUACUGGGCGUAAAGGGCGCGUAGGCGGCGUAGCAAGUCACUUGCGAAAUCUCCGGGCUUAACCCGGAGCGGCCAAGUGAUACUGUUGUGCUAGAGUGCGGAAGGGGCUACUGGAAUUCUCGGUGUAGCGGUGAAAUGCGUAGAUAUCGAGAGGAACACCUGCGGCGAAGGCGGGUAGCUGGGCCGACACUGACGCUGAGGCGCGAAAGCCAGGGGAGCGAACGGG
rnacentral:rRNA from 1 species